rnacentral:rRNA from 1 species
AACGAACGCUGGCGGCAUGCCUAACACAUGCAAGUCGAACGAGGCCUUCGGGCGUUAGUGGCGCACGGGUGCGUAACGCGUGGGAAUCUGCCCUUGGGUUCGGAAUAACAGUUAGAAAUGACUGCUAAUACCGGAUGAUGUCUUCGGACCAAAGAUUUAUCGCCCAGGGAUGAGCCCGCGUAGGAUUAGGUAGUUGGUGGGGUAAAGGCCUACCAAGCCGACGAUCCUUAGCUGGUCUGAGAGGAUGAUCAGCCACACUGGGACUGAGACACGGCCCAGACUCCUACGGGAGGCAGCAGUGGGGAAUAUUGGACAAUGGGCGCAAGCCUGAUCCAGCAAUGCCGCGUGAGUGAUGAAGGCCUUAGGGUUGUAAAGCUCUUUUACCCGGGAUGAUAAUGACAGUACCGGGAGAAUAAGCCCCGGCUAACUCCGUG